rnacentral:rRNA from 1 species
GUGGGGAAUAUUGGGCAAUGGGCGAAAGCCUGACCCAGCGACGCCGCGUGAGGGAAGAAGGUCUUCGGAUUGUAAACCUCUUUCAGCAGGGAAGAAGGAAGUGACGGUACCUGCAGAAGAAGCCACGGCUAACUACGUGCCAGCAGCCGCGGUAAUACGUAGGUGGCAAGCGUUAUCCGGAAUUAUUGGGUGUAAAGGGUGUGUAGGCGGGACUUUAAGUCAGACGUGAAAAUCACGGGCUCAACCCAUGACCUGCGUUUGAAACUGGAGUUCUUGAGAGUGGGAGAGGUAAACGGAAUUCCUGGUGUAGCGGUGAAAUGCGUAGAUAUCAGGAGGAACACCGGUGGCGAAGGCGGUUUACUGGACCACAACUGACGCUGAGACACGAAAGCGUGGGGAGCAAACAGG